ACUUGAGGUAAUUUAUGAUAAAAUGACAUCACAAAACGAACAGAACCAGAAUCAGAAAUUUAAAAAAUUUUGUAAUAUAAUAAAUAAAUCAACCAACAUAUAAAAAAACGAAUAAAACUUGCAAAAAUUAAUCAAAAACCCUCUUCGACGCCGCUUUUUAUGUGUAACGUCAUGUUUUAGGAACAUCGUGCCCAUCGUUUGACAGUAAAUACACAGC
rnacentral:lncRNA from 1 species